GAUGAACGCUAGCGGCAGGCUUAAUACAUGCAAGUCAAGGGGUCAGCAAUGGCACCGGCGGACGGGUAAGUAACGCGUACACAACGUACCUUUAACUGGGGGAUAGCAUUUGGAAACGAGUGGUAAUACCGCAUGUGGUUGUAGGGAGGCAUCUUUUGCAACUAAAACUCAGGUGGUUAAAGAUCGGUGUGCGUCCGAUUAGCUAGUUGGUGAGGUAAUGGCUCACCAAGGCGACGAUCGGUAGGGGGCGUGAGAGCGUGAACCCCCACACGGGUACUGAGACACGGACCCGACUCCUACGGGAGGCAGCAGUAAGGAAUAUUGGUCAAUGGAGGCAACUCUGAACCAGCCAUGCCGCGUGAAGGAAGAAGGCGCUAUGCGUUGUAAACUUCUUUUGGGUGGGAAGAAAAUGGUCAAUUUAUUGACAACUGACGGUACCAUCAGAAUAAGCACCGGCUAACUCCGUG
rnacentral:rRNA from 1 species